rnacentral:lncRNA from 1 species
AAAAUACUGAACAUAUCAUUAUAUAAGACAAUAUGGUUUACACUCAAGACUGUAACACAAUGCACUUCAAGAUUAUAAUUUUCGUCAUAGGUACCUGCUUAUUGAGUGAAAGUGUAAUGAGCAAAACGGGAAGAAUUCAAGGUAAGCUUCGAUAUGUUUUAUGAUUACAUACUAUGUUUAUCGGGUUUCGUAUACAUAUAAAAACAAAUAUAAAAAUAUUGCGAAAAAGGACCAUUUAUUUAUAAUAUAACUAAUCGCCGUAUUUGAAUAUCAAAAAAUAAGACAACGCGCGACCGAACGACGCAUGGAUUGAACGAGUGCGCAGCACGAGUUUAAUCCAUAGCGGCGUUCGGUUACAAGUUGUCUUAUUUUUGAUAUUCAAAUACGGCGAUUAGUUAUAUUUUUAUUACAUUGUCAAUGGCUUUUUUAUGAAAUUAUGUAGAAAAUGUAAGGGACUAUAAAUUUUUCUACGCAUUUAAUUUGUUUUGAUCCGACGUUAUCGACGUCUUGAACAGCCUAUUGUUGUUGACGUCAGAGAGUGAAAAUAACCACGUUUAUUUCACAUGUGAAAUUAUCGGUUUUUAUUUAACUGGGAAAUCCAUGUAAUUUAUUGCAACCAAUGUAAUAAAAUUCAUUAUCAAUUAAUCAAUAUGCAUGUGCAUGUGUUUUACUGCACAUACCCUGACCAACAACAAAUAAACAUAGAUACACGACAUCACCAGCUCGUAACCUUCGUAUUUCUUUAAAACAAAAGAUAACCAGACAUCUUACAGUUGGGAACAUGCAAAGGAACAUGCGGGUAAUACAUGCAAGGUUUAUAAGCACGAGCUUCAACAAGAUAAAAAUAUAAUUGAUCACGAGAGAGAUACAUACUUAAACAUAUGCAGUUACAUCAAAAAGAUUUGAUACAUCAUCAAUGAACUAGUAUACCUCUUUGUUUAGGGGGCAACUGAAAAAUGCAUCCAGGUGCGGGAGUUUCUUGCUGCAUUGGAGACCAAUUGGUGACCUUCGGCUCUUUGGUCGGGUUGUUGUCUCUUUGAAACAUUCCCCAUUUCCAUUUCCAUUUCCAUUCUCAACUUUAUUAUAUGUUUUUUAAUUAGUAUGAAAGGUACCAGGAUAAAAAAAUUAUACGCCAGACGCACGUUUCGUCUACAUGAGACUCAUUAGUGACGAUCAGAUCAAAAUGGUUUUAAAGUCAAACAAGUACAAGGUUUAAAAGCAUUGAGGACCCAACAUUUCAAAAAGUCGUGCCAAAUAUGGCUAAGGUGAUAUAUGCCUGGGAUAAGAAAAUCCUUAGUUUUUUUCGAAAAACUCUUUUUGAAAUGUCAUUUGACUGCUUGAGUAUCAACUCUCAUUUCAAUGUUUUGUUUUACAAAAAUGUUUAACCUUUUGAUAUAUCUUUGUAAAUUGAUUUACUUUGUGUUGACCUUAUUCCUCAACAUAACUCUUUUCUAAUGUUAAUGAUGGGGAAAAACAUACUAGUUCUUGUUACUAGUUACUGGUAAAAUCAGGAGUCGUGAUUGAUAUAUUACACGUUUUAUUCGUGCUCCGUUUUCCUUUUCCAUGUUUACAAGAGGAAAUGAUAGGUGUUGAUUCACUUAUAAAUGGUGUCUUCAAAACAGUCGAAAAUAUAAACACAACAUGGUUUUAAUUUCUGAAAAGUAUCUGAAUUUUAAAAGAAGUAAUUACUUUCUGGUUGAACACACGUCAGGUUAUGGGUUUCCCAGAGAAUAUACCACGGUACACACAAUCAAAAUCUAUAGUGUUCCGUGUAUCAGAAGCAGACCUUGGUUACCCGGGCCGGUUUUGUUCUUUGCAUUAUUUGUAUUCACAAAAUAAAAAAAGUUAAUGAUACCCUCCGAGAAUAACCCACCAGCAGUAAAGUUUCUUCCAGGAAGAAAUUUGACAUUGACUUGAUUGUACCUGUAGUAAGAAGUAAAGUCAUAUAAUUACUGAAGUCCGGAACUUGAAAACGGAAAGUCUCUAAUCAAACGACAAAAUCAAAACUAAAACACAUCAAACGAAUGGAUAACAAGUGUUAUAUUUUUGACUUGGUAAAAGGCGUUUUCCUAUGUAGAAAAUUGUGGAUCAAACCUGGUUUUAAAGCUAGCUGAAACUCUCACUUUUAUGGCAGUCGAAUCAAAUUCCAUUAUAUUGACAGCGAAGUGUGAACAAACCACACAGACAUAAUAGGUAAAAAUAUCAAAAAUAGGGGUACAGCAGUCAACAUUGUGUUAUGAUCUUAAUCACUAUCAACAAAAUUUUGAAUGGACAGUCAACUAUUGCACUAUGCAUACACGGUUUUUGUUUUCAAUUGAACGAAAAGAAGUAUCAGAAAUAUAAAUAACAAAUAAGUUUUUUUUCUUUUUUUUCAGAGGAUAAUAAUGAAUUUCCACAUAUACAAGUCUUUAAUUUUGGAAACAUCGCAGCGGACACAUUGUGUUCUUUUUGUAAAAGAAAACGUUCAAAUUGUAUUAAAUUUUGUAAUGGUGGAGC